GCGAUUGCAAAAUUGCGGAUCCCGAAAUCGCGAGAGCGAUGAGGGAGCUAUAUGCUGGAAAGCCCGCAAAAAUCUCACAGUACUACAGUAUACUGUAGUAAAAAUCUGAUGAGCGAAGCGGACAACCAGCAGGGAAGUCCUGAACGAAGUUGAAGGACCCCUCAGAGACUAUACGCCGAGCCCCGCCAACAAUAAUUAUGCCGCGCGCGAUGUACUCAUCGCGCGCCGGCACUUAUUUUUGGUAGGCGGGGAUGAUAUAGUCCGAACUCUAUGGCGACAUAGAG
rnacentral:ncRNA from 1 species